UGGGGAAUUUUGGACAAUGGGCGAAAGCCUGAUCCAGCAAUGCCGCGUGUGUGAAGAAGGCCUUCGGGUUGUAAAGCACUUUUGUCCGGAAAGAAAUCCUCUGGGUUAAUACCUCGGGGGGAUGACGGUACCGGAAGAAUAAGCACCGGCUAACUACGUGCCAGCAGCCGCGGUAAUACGUAGGGUGCAAGCGUUAAUCGGAAUUACUGGGCGUAAAGCGUGCGCAGGCGGUUUUGUAAGACGGAUGUGAAAUCCCCGGGCUUAACCUGGGAACUGCAUUCGUGACUGCAAGGCUAGAGUAUGGCAGAGGGGGGUAGAAUUCCACGUGUAGCAGUGAAAUGCGUAGAGAUGUGGAGGAAUACCGAUGGCGAAGGCAGCCCCCUGGGCCAAUACUGACGCUCAUGCACGAAAGCGUGGGGAGCAAACAGGAUUAGAUACCCUGGUAGUCCACGCCCUAAACGAUGUCAACUAGUUGUUGGGGAUUCAUUUCCUAGUAACGUAGCUAACGCGUGAAGUUGACCGCCU
rnacentral:rRNA from 1 species